GACUUGAGCUUUAUGUUUUCUUUUAAUAAAAGGACUUCAGCUAUACUUUUCUAAAGAUUUAAAGGACUUAAGCUUGAUCUUUCUUAUAAUAUAAAUGACUAGACCUAUUUGUUUUGAAUCAUUAAAAGGACUUUGGCUUUAUGAUUUUUUUUAAAAGAAAGGACUUGAGAUAUAAUAUUCUAAUAGUAAAUAGGUUGUGAGCUAUAUGUUUAUGAGAUUUUAUAGGUCUUGAGCUCCAUGAUUUUAAGGAAAAAAAGGACUUGAGUUACAUGUUUACAAGAAUUGAAAGGUCUUGGGCUAUGUGUUUUAUUUAUAUAAAGGAUUUGUAAUAAAAGGUCUUGAGCUAUACUUCUUUAAUGAUAAAAGAUCUGGAGCUAUAUGUUUCUUAAAAUAUAAAGGACUUGAGUUACAUGUUUACAAGAAUUGAAAGGUCUUGAGCUAUGUGCUUUAUUUAUAAAAAGGACUUGAGCUAUAUGUUUUUAAAAUAUAAAGGACUUGAGCUACAUGUUUAUGAGAAUUGAAAGGACUAUAUGAUUUUAAUAUUUCAAAGGACUUGAGCUGUAUGUUUCUCAUAAUAUAAAGGACUUGAUCUAUAUGUUUCUCACAAUAUAAAGGACUUGAGCUAUGAUUUUGAUUAAAAAAGAUCUAGCUACAGGCGGUUUCCCAGUUAGACUUCAGCCCGUAGUUUUUGGUCCAAGCUUUACUCAGUGACUGGCCUAAUGUAAAGUGUAGUAAUCCAGUGUUAUGUUACAGGUAAACUGUGACACAGCAGAGCAAAGGACUGGCAGAUGGGGAGCACUGAUAUCCACUUCUCUAUAUAGAACCCAACAAAGGAUGCCUGGGAUAAGAUAACGGAUGCGGAACCUGUGUACAGAGAAAGCAGAAGACGUGAGCAACAUCAGUCAUGCUAUAGAAGAUUAUGAGGAUCAACAAAAAACUACCCUAUUAGCUAUAAUACAGUUUAGCCCAGAACUUGGAAGACAUCAAAAGAAAUUAUAAAAUGUCUAAACCUACUGACAAUGGAAUGCAGUAAGAUAUUUAGUUGUUCAAUCGAAUAUUUAUAUGGAGUAUUUAAAACCUUAAAAAAAAAUUAUUUCAUGGCUAAUUAUAUGUUUUUACAAUUACUGAGAUUUAGGUAUAAAAGUAUAACAAUUGUCAAGACGACAUUCUUUAAAUUCUUUCGACAUCUCCGAAGUUCUGGGCUAAACUGAGGAGAAAUCUUUUUGUUUCAUUAUCUCUCAUUUAUAAAUGAUGUCAAUGAUAAUAAGAAAGGAUCCGCUUAAUUUACAAUUACGUACAUGUUAUUCCUUGCUCCUACAAUGGAUAGACAAGCCGAUCCGUAAACGCAGUUCCUUGUAAAGAGUAUAAAAUUAACCAACAAUGCUAUUUUCGAGUCAAAAAUAAACUGAUCAAUGACAGCUUU